UGCCUUUGACAUCAAUAACCGGAAAUUGACGAUGAGUGCUGUUUUUCCUCGAUUCGCUAAACGUCUUGGUGUUUGCGUGAAUAGGAAAAUCCAUACAAUUAAAACACAAAUAUCCCAUGCAAGCAAACCAGCUCGCGCAGAGUUAUACCACACCGCAUAAAUUAUAUAACACAGAUACGCAACAGGAAUUAAUAUUUUCAAGGCUGUCAAGACAAAAGUUUUUGUUUUAUUUCUCCACCAUGAACUUUUUAACACAGGAGGAGUGUAAAAUUGCGAGAACGAGUCCGAAUUCAUACAUGAUUUUUUUAUCAGAGAUUUUCGGUCAGCUGAAAGCGUGUCGUCAAUUGUAAAACUUUCACUUUUCACAGUAGAACUUUUCUGUAGAAGAGGCUGUUCCGAUGCCAUGUUGAAUUAGAUCACGACGUUAUUGAAAUAUCACUGUUCAUUCAUUCUUCUGUAAAACAAAGAAACAAAUGUAGCAUUGCUGGUGGAGGUUUUCUAUAGUCGUCAGUACUUUUGUGUCGACUAGAAAUUUCGUUGAUUUGGUAAUGUC
rnacentral:lncRNA from 1 species